rnacentral:lncRNA from 10 species
AGGAGCUGCAUCACCCAUGCAUAUUUACAAGAGAUUUUUGUCUCUAACCUGACUCAUUUAACAGGAACAACAUGUCCAUAUGCCAGAACAUGGGCUGGCCCAUAAAUCACAUCCUGCCCUUCUCUGAACAAUCCAGUGUGUCUGUCAUGUGUCGAGCCUAACAAAACACUGAGAAGCAGUCCAUAAUCCUAAAUCCAUUUAUUUGUGUAAAGUCUCCAUUUACUGAGUUCCUGGCAUUUUGUAUAAUACCUAUGUACUAACACUUGGAAGUAUAAGAGGAGUAGUUGAGGUUUUAUCAAGAUUUGAGUAUUGAAAUCUUAUUAAGAUAUGAAAAAAAUGCACAUUCUUCCUCUGCCAAAAGAGAUCUAGGUACCAAGAUAAAAUAUGGCUUCUGUUUUCCACAUACAUAAAAUUUCCACGUGCAGUGUUGAUAACUUUGAGGAUUGUAUAGAUAAUGAAAACUGCGCUAGUUGCCACAGGUCUACCUUUAGUCAAGAUGAAAAAGAAAUCACCACUAAAGAAUAUAGAUGGGAACAGAGACAAACUUUAGUCCUAGUAGACUUGACUUUAUGUAACCCACAGUUUUUCUUUACUUUAUUUGCAGCUGAAGUUGAUCCUGGAAAGAGAAUCUUUAGGGAGAGAACAUUGUUUUCUUUCCCAGAACAUCGUGUCGGGCAGGCAAUGACUGCACAGCCUGCAAGAGGCCUGUUUUGGACAUUAGUUGUUAAUGUAAGUAAUAAUGAUAAUGAAUUGCCCACUUCAAUGUGUUAUACAUAUUUCUAA